rfam:Astyanax mexicanus Tnplaced_Scaffold3149, whole genome shotgun sequence.
GCCCGGAUGGCUCAGUCGGUAGAGCAUCAGAUUUUUUAUCUGAGGGUCCAGGGUUCAAGUCCCUGUUCGGGCG